GACGAACGCUGGCGGCGUGCUUAACACAUGCAAGUCGAACGGUGAAGCGCCUUCCUUUUUGGUGGGUGUGGAUGAGUGGCGAACGGGUGAGUAACACGUGAGUAACCUGCCCCCUUCUUCUGGAUAACCGCAUGAAAGUGUGGCUAAUACGGGAUAUUCUGGGUCUGUCGCAUGAUGGGUCUGGGAAAGAUAUUGUUUCGGUGGGGGAUGGGCUCGCGGCCUAUCAGCUUGUUGGUGGGGUGGUGGCCUACCAAGGCGGUGACGGGUAGCCGGCCUGAGAGGGUGGACGGUCACACUGGGACUGAGACACGGCCCAGACUCCUACGGGAGGCAGCAGUGGGGAAUAUUGCACAAUGGGCGCAAGCCUGAUGCAGCGACGCCGCGUGAGGGAUGGAGGCCUUCGGGUUGUGAACCUCUUUCGCCAGUGAAGCAGGCCUGCCUCGUUUGUGGGUGGGUUGACGGUAGCUGGAGAAGAAGCGCCGGCUAACUACGUG
rnacentral:rRNA from 1 species